GACUCCUGGCUCGAGGACGAACGCUGGCGGCGUGCUUAACACAUGCAAGUCGAACGGUGACGAGGAGCUUGCUCCUCUGAUCAGUGGCGAACGGGUGAGUAACACGUGAGCAACCUGCCCCAGACUCUGGGAUAACAGUUGGAAACAGCUGCUAAUACCGGAUACGAGACGGAGAGGCAUCUCUACCGUCUGGAAAGUUUUCGGUCUGGGAUGGACUCGCGGCCUAUCAGCUAGUUGGUGAGGUAAUGGCUCACCAAGGCGACGACGGGUAGCCGGCCUGAGAGGGCGACCGGCCACACUGGGACUGAGACACGGCCCAGACUCCUACGGGAGGCAGCAGUGGGGAAUAUUGCACAAUGGGCGAAAGCCUGAUGCAGCGACGCCGCGUGAGGGAUGAAGGCCUUCGGGUUGUAAACCUCUUUCAGCAGGGAAGAAGCGAAAGUGACGGUACCUGCAGAAGAAGCGCCGGCUAACUACGUG
rnacentral:rRNA from 1 species